UUAAUAGUAAAUAAUAAUAAUAAUAGGAUAGGAAACAUAAAGCAAAGUUUUCCUGUAGGCUUCCAUUAAAAAGUCUACAUGGAAGUAGAAACUCUACCCUUAAAACCCCAAGAACAUCUCCAGAAUUGUAUACUAUUCAAUAUAGGUCACAUUUGGAGCCUAAAUCAUUUGGCAGCAUCAUCUCAUAUCACAGCUGUGGAAAAUAUAAUUGGGAUAAAAUGGAAUUCAAAUCCUUCCCGCUGGCAAGCUCAUCAACUAAGCCAAGGGAUAAAUGGGCAUGGAAUCCAUGAGAGCAAACAGCUCCCUAGAACCCAAGAUUGGCUUUUUAAAGAGAAAUAGGGUGUUUUUUUCCCAAUCUUUCCUUGUAGAAACAGCUGUAGGAUGUCAUCGUCCCACUGAGUCAGCGCAGGAUGGAGCAGGAAGGAGCCAGCCUCCGUAGCUUAGUGGGUUGUGAACUUCAAAGCUGAAUUUAGCGCGUCGAAUGUUGCUGCUGGUAGUGCUGGGGAGCUUUCAUCUGCGUCUGACAAGCCAAGUAGCUCACAGUGUGUGAGUUCCGUGGGCAUCUUGCUGUGUUGCAGGGAAUCUGCUGCUCAAACAGAUGGGUGGCAGAGCAGCAUCGUUUCCACAAUUGGCAGAGAGUGGGUACAACCCCGAGCAACUUCUCUCCUUGUUUCCUGCAGUGAGGGAAUUCCCACAGCAGGGAGACGGAGGGAACCCGAGCUCCAUUUCAGCUGGGGAUGCUCCUAAUACAUCCCCAGGGAUGCUGUUUUGGAGGAAGGAUGGACUCAUCACAGUGCUGCUGCAUGGCAGUGGAAGCACGCUCCACUCUUAACAACUGCAAAGCCCCAGGACAAAGUGGAAGGCCGAAACAACCACUGGGUGCUGGGAUUGCCAAACCUAUCCAGGGCUUCAGAGCCUCUUUGCCAAGUGCAAAGGAUCACCCUUGUGCUCUGUUCUGAACCCCUGAGCUGUCCCUGUCCCCUUUUACACCCGUGCAGGGUGCAUCUGACCUUGGGAAGGACAAGGGGUAAUGGCCCAACUUAAAUCCCAAAACAGGACUUAAGCAAGACUUCAGUAAUGCCUGGAAUGAGUUUUCCUGCGGCGAACCGAGGAGUGAAGCUGUGUUGCCAGAGCCAGCACUAUAAAUGGGCAUUACUUACUGAUCAGAGCUGGCUAAAAGCAUUUCACUGCAGAGAAGGUGGUGCUCAGCCUCAUGAAAGGAGCAUGAAUGAAGUCACCUUCAAAACCAUCCAUUGCCAUGGGGACAAUACCACCGCAGGAGUUUGUAA